rnacentral:rRNA from 1 species
GAUCAUGGUCAGAAUAAACGCUGGCGGCGUGUCUUAAGCAUGCAAGUCGGACGGCAAGCCGCCUUCGGGCGGCCUAGAGUGGCGGACUGGUGAGUAACACGUGGGUGAUAUACCUUUUGGACGGGGAUAGCCCCUAGAAAUAGGGGGUAAUACCGGAUAAGGCCGUGCGGGUUGGAGCCGCACGGGGAAAGGCGCUAUGGUGCCGCCGAAAGAAUAGCCUGCGACCGAUCAGCUUGUUGGUGAGGUAAAGGCCCACCAAGG